UACGGAGGGUGCAAGCGUUAUCCGGAUUCACUGGGUUUAAAGGGUGCGUAGGAGGGCAGGUAAGUCAGUGGUGAAAUCUCCAAGCUUAACUUGGAAACUGCCGUUGAUACUAUCUGUCUUGAAUAUUGUGGAGGUGAGCGGAAUAUGUCAUGUAGCGGUGAAAUGCGUAGAUAUCUGGAGGAACACCGGUGGCGAAGGCGGCAUCCUGGACCGGCAUUGACGCUGAGGCGCGAAAGCCAGGGGAGCAAACGGG
rnacentral:rRNA from 1 species